GGUUAAGCGACUAAGCGUACACGGUGGAUGCCCUGGCAGUCAGAGGCGAUGAAGGACGUGCUAAUCUGCGAUAAGCGUCGGUAAGGUGAUAUGAACCGUUAUAACCGGCGAUUUCCGAAUGGGGAAACCCAGUGUGUUUCGACACACUAUCAUUAACUGAAUCCAUAGGUUAAUGAGGCGAACCGGGGGAACUGAAACAUCUAAGUACCCCGAGGAAAAGAAAUCAACCGAGAUUCCCCCAGUAGCGGCGAGCGAACGGGGAGGAGCCCAGAGCCUGAAUCAGUGUGUGUGUUAGUGGAAGCGUCUGGAAAGGCGCGCGAUACAGGGUGACAGCCCCGUACACAAAAAUGCACAUGCUGUGAGCUCGAUGAGUAGGGCGGGACACGUGGUAUCCUGUCUGAAUAUGGGGGGACCAUCCUCCAAGGCUAAAUACUCCUGACUGACCGAUAGUGAACCAGUACCGUGAGGGAAAGGCGAAAAGAACCCCGGCGAGGGGAGUGAAAAAGAACCUGAAACCGUGUACGUACAAGCAGUGGGAGCACAGAGCAAUCUGUGUGACUGCGUACCUUUUGUAUAAUGGGUCAGCGACUUAUAUUCUGUAGCAAGGUUAACCGAAUAGGGGAGCCGAAGGGAAACCGAGUCUUAACUGGGCGUUAAGUUGCAGGGUAUAGACCCGAAACCCGGUGAUCUAGCCAUGGGCAGGUUGAAGGUUGGGUAACACUAACUGGAGGACCGAACCGACUAAUGUUGAAAAAUUAGCGGAUGACUUGUGGCUGGGGGUGAAAGGCCAAUCAAACCGGGAGAUAGCUGGUUCUCCCCGAAAGCUAUUUAGGUAGCGCCUCGUGAAUUCAUCUCCGGGGGUAGAGCACUGUUUCGGCAAGGGGGUCAUCCCGACUUACCAACCCGAUGCAAACUGCGAAUACCGGAGAAUGUUAUCACGGGAGACACACGGCGGGUGCUAACGUCCGUCGUGAAGAGGGAAACAACCCAGACCGCCAGCUAAGGUCCCAAAGUCAUGGUUAAGUGGGAAACGAUGUGGGAAGGCCCAGACAGCCAGGAUGUUGGCUUAGAAGCAGCCAUCAUUUAAAGAAAGCGUAAUAGCUCACUGGUCGAGUCGGCCUGCGCGGAAGAUGUAACGGGGCUAAACCAUGCACCGAAGCUGCGGCAGCGACACUGUGUGUUGUUGGGUAGGGGAGCGUUCUGUAAGCCUGUGAAGGUGUGCUGUGAGGCAUGCUGGAGGUAUCAGAAGUGCGAAUGCUGACAUAAGUAACGAUAAAGCGGGUGAAAAGCCCGCUCGCCGGAAGACCAAGGGUUCCUGUCCAACGUUAAUCGGGGCAGGGUGAGUCGACCCCUAAGGCGAGGCCGAAAGGCGUAGUCGAUGGGAAACAGGUUAAUAUUCCUGUACUUGGUGUUACUGCGAAGGGGGGACGGAGAAGGCUAUGUUGGCCGGGCGACGGUUGUCCCGGUUUAAGCGUGUAGGCUGGUUUUCCAGGCAAAUCCGGAAAAUCAAGGCUGAGGCGUGAUGACGAGGCACUACGGUGCUGAAGCAACAAAUGCCCUGCUUCCAGGAAAAGCCUCUAAGCAUCAGGUAACAUCAAAUCGUACCCCAAACCGACACAGGUGGUCAGGUAGAGAAUACCAAGGCGCUUGAGAGAACUCGGGUGAAGGAACUAGGCAAAAUGGUGCCGUAACUUCGGGAGAAGGCACGCUGAUAUGUAGGUGAAGUCCCUCGCGGAUGGAGCUGAAAUCAGUCGAAGAUACCAGCUGGCUGCAACUGUUUAUUAAAAACACAGCACUGUGCAAACACGAAAGUGGACGUAUACGGUGUGACGCCUGCCCGGUGCCGGAAGGUUAAUUGAUGGGGUCAGCGCAAGCGAAGCUCUUGAUCGAAGCCCCGGUAAACGGCGGCCGUAACUAUAACGGUCCUAAGGUAGCGAAAUUCCUUGUCGGGUAAGUUCCGACCUGCACGAAUGGCGUAAUGAUGGCCAGGCUGUCUCCACCCGAGACUCAGUGAAAUUGAACUCGCUGUGAAGAUGCAGUGUACCCGCGGCAAGACGGAAAGACCCCGUGAACCUUUACUAUAGCUUGACACUGAACAUUGAGCCUUGAUGUGUAGGAUAGGUGGGAGGCUUUGAAGUGUGGACGCCAGUCUGCAUGGAGCCGACCUUGAAAUACCACCCUUUAAUGUUUGAUGUUCUAACGUGGACCCGUGAUCCGGGUUGCGGACAGUGUCUGGUGGGUAGUUUGACUGGGGCGGUCUCCUCCUAAAGAGUAACGGAGGAGCACGAAGGUUGGCUAAUCCUGGUCGGACAUCAGGAGGUUAGUGCAAUGGCAUAAGCCAGCUUGACUGCGAGCGUGACGGCGCGAGCAGGUGCGAAAGCAGGUCAUAGUGAUCCGGUGGUUCUGAAUGGAAGGGCCAUCGCUCAACGGAUAAAAGGUACUCCGGGGAUAACAGGCUGAUACCGCCCAAGAGUUCAUAUCGACGGCGGUGUUUGGCACCUCGAUGUCGGCUCAUCACAUCCUGGGGCUGAAGUAGGUCCCAAGGGUAUGGCUGUUCGCCAUUUAAAGUGGUACGCGAGCUGGGUUUAGAACGUCGUGAGACAGUUCGGUCCCUAUCUGCCGUGGGCGCUGGAGAACUGAGGGGGGCUGCUCCUAGUACGAGAGGACCGGAGUGGACGCAUCACUGGUGUUCGGGUUGUCAUGCCAAUGGCACUGCCCGGUAGCUAAAUGCGGAAGAGAUAAGUGCUGAAAGCAUCUAAGCACGAAACUUGCCCCGAGAUGAGUUCUCCCUGACCCUUUAAGGGUCCUGAAGGAACGUUGAAGACGACGACGUUGAUAGGCCGGGUGUGUAAGCGCAGCGAUGCGUUGAGCUAACCGGUACUAAUGAACCGUGAGGCUUAACCUUAC
rnacentral:rRNA from 1 species